UAAAACUACUUUGCCUUAUUUUUCCUGUUUGGAUAUCUUGCUGAGUUCAAGCAAAAUCAAGUGUUCAGCUGAAAACACAAAAAUGAUAAUAAUAUUAUGCUUUCUUUGCUGGAGGAAUGUUGUUGUUAUAGACCCUGCAUGAAAAACACCAGGCAAUCUGUAUUUAAGUGACCUCAUUAUCACUAUUAUUAUGCGUAAACCUAAGCGUGCAUUUGUAGGCGGUGUCGAAAUGGGUCUAUAGCUCUGUCUGAACUGUCGUCCAAUUGGUUUACAGGUCCGGCUGAAGUGACAGGCCAUCAAAAACUGUACAGCAUGACUGAUUCGGAGACAGCCCUCAACACUCGCCCAGUCGUGUCGAGAGGAUCGGUGUCUUUGUAGAUUACACGGAAUCGAGCACCCGGGCCAGGCUGACACUUUCCGGAGCCUGUCCGAGACGGAACUCGAGCCUAGGAAUCAUAGGUCCAGGUGUGGCAAAAGACUUAAAGCUCAUGUCUGACGAUCACUUUUUUUGAGUCAGGAAUUCAAGUGUGUUGUUUUUCCACGCAAGCAAGCCCUUUUGUUGGGUGAAAUGACAUCAGAAAUUCUGCCUCUACAUGGAUUUUACCUAAACUGUGCCAAAAAAAAAAGAAAAAAGUUUGUUCGAAACCUGUUCAAAACCUGCUUUGAAGCACAAAUAUUGCCAUUGAUGAUUUUUGUCACUUAUUUAGUCAUCUGUUACAUCAACUUUGCCUAUGAGAAUCGAAAGUGAUGACUUGUAUGAAGUCUAAGUGCUGCAUGUAUGAUGAAACCAAGUUUGGCUUUUCUACCAUAAUUCUUGACGCGAAACGCUGUUACGCAUGACGCUUUCAACGGCAAUUUUUAUGAAUAAAUCUGUGUGUCAUUGUA